AUAGUCUUCAUCAAGAUCCUUAUUAUUUCUUGCUAUUUGUGAACCUCCCUGCUUUCAAGUCCUCUUCAAUUGUUUCUUCAGGCCAGACAUUCCAUAUGAGAAGGACUGAGAGUUCAAGGAGACCCAUCUGAUGAAGUGGCACUCCCAAAGAAAAGAUAAAGUCAAAUCUGGCUGGCCAGUUACAACUUCAGAGCUCUUUCAUAACUUUCUGAGGUUGUAGAUAAAUUGGACCUUCGCAGAAGACCGUGGCUGUGGACAAGUAAACAAUUCCUAUCAUACAUUUCUCACUGGAGGGAAAGUUAAAAGUUAGAUUCAAUAAAAGUGACCGCCAUGACUUAACUAAACCAUCCAGCAUCUCCUUGCCGACAGCCUGCCUUAUAUUUACAUGAAAGGAUUUCCUGCCAGUUUAUCAUCUUAGUCUUAAUACCUAGGCCUUUAUCCCCUCAUCUCUAUCCUACCAAUUGCCUGUCUUUUCAUUUUGCACAGAUGGAAUGGGCAAUUGAAGAAGUAAGGCAUCAUUACCUUCUUCUUUUUAAAGAUGUAGGGAGUGAGCACCAGGUUCUGUUCUCAGCAAACCUCUUUAAUCCUAGUGGGGUUGGUUAUAGCAACUUCAAGCCUACCUGACUCCAGUUUUCUCUUCCAAAUCAAUCUUUAAUCCUCAAAAAGGUUGAUUUGAUUGCACAGUCCUUGCUUACUGUAUUUCAAUGGUUCCCUAGGGUUUUCAUAUUAUAGCUGGAGUUCCUUAGCUUGGGAAAAAAAAUUCAUUUUAAGCCCCUUGACUCUCCUUUAUUUUUGUAUUUAACUUUUUAAAAUAAAAAAAUCUGAAAUAUCCUAACAUGUAGAAAUUUGCAGAAGAUCAUUCAUCUUUCUAAAAGCUAGCUUCCUCUAGUCAUCAUUUCCCACUCUAUGCACCAGCCAUGACUUGAGCCCCUAAAAUUUCUCUUGCUAUUUAACACUUCCAUGAUUGUGUCAAUCCUG
rnacentral:lncRNA from 1 species